GCCUGGCUUCAUCAGUACAUAUCUCUCUUUGUCAGAAGAAAUAAUGCUACCCUACAAGAGUUUGCAAGAAGCAGAGGCAACUUUAGGGAGAGAGCUAACGGUUGCUCAGAAACUAUGGUUGAACUACUCAGCUAAUAAACCUGAUUAUAUUCUUCAUUAUCACAACAUCAUGUUUUUGAUCAUCUUUUACUCUAUCAUUCCUCUACCCUACGUCUUCAUUGAGCUAAGUUGCUCCAAGAAAAUGGACAGAUACAAGAUUCAAUCCAAAAUCAAGAAAUCAUUCUGGGACAUGUUCAACUGUUACACAGAUGUCAUGCAGAUUUUUCUUCUUGUUGUUGGCCCUCUGCAGCUCUUUUCUUACCCUACCAUUAAGUGGAUUGGCAUUCGAACUGAUUUGGCAUUGCCUACAGUGUGGGAAAUGUUUUGGCAACUACUGGUGUAUGCGCUGAUAGAGGACUACUUUAAUUAUUGGAUUCAUAGGUGGCUCCAUUCUAAAUGGGGCUACCAGAAAAUCCACCAUGUCCACCAUGAAUACGCUGCUCCAAUAGGAUUGGCAGCACCAUAUGCACACUGGGCUGAGAUUUUAAUCCUUGGAAUUCCUUCAUUUCUUGGUCCUGCAUUAGUUCCUGGACACAUAAUCACCUACUGGCUGUGGUUCAUUUUGAGACAAAUGGAAGCUAUUGAGACACAUAGCGGAUAUGAGAUCCCAUGGAGUCCAACAAAAUAUAUUCCAUUCUAUGGAGGUGCAGAAUACCACGACUAUCAUCAUUAUGCGGGUGGCCAAAGCCAAAGUAAUUUUGCAUCAAUUUUCACAUACUGCGAUUACAUUUAUGGAACUGAUAAGGGUUAUCGAUGCCACAAAUCCAUCCUGAAAAAGGUAUCAAUCGGAAACAUUUCGAUGCUUAUCUUAUUAGGUUUUGAAGUUAUUGUGAGGCAGCUAAGAUAUAUUCAUGGUUUUUCAAUUAUGGAUUAGGCAAAUUCCUCCAAGGGAGAAUGAGAAGCACAGAAAAUUACACAGCAAAAGCAAUUUCACUUGUUCUUAGGCCAUGUCUUGUUUAGGUAUGUUCUGUAAUUUUCUUUAAAAAAAAAAAAGUAAAUAGACUUGUGGGGAUUGAGGGCUUCUGAUUUUGAUCUAAGCUAUGUAUUUUGGAGAUGAUGGGGUGGGCGGGGUUCGGCAUGCAAGCCAGACCUGAAAUAAUGACAUCCGC
rnacentral:misc_RNA from 1 species